GCAACUUGGAGGAAUGUAUAGCGAAAGCUGGUUGUAUUAACUUUUAGUGCAGCAUCGAUUAUCUCGAAUAAAGUUCUAGAUAGAGUUAUGAUGAUGACAUUUUCUAUCUAUAUGUCUUGACCAAGUCACGUGCCAGCAGUCGCGGUAAUACGUGGUAGACUAGUGUUAUUCAUAUUUAAUAGGUUUAAAGGGUACCUAGACGGUAAAUUAAGCCCUCUAAGGGUACUAAUUUUCUAGAGUUUUAUGCGAGGGGGGGAGUACUAAAGAGUGUAGAGAUGAAAUUCUGUAAUACCUUUAUUGGAACAGGCAACGGCGAAAGCAACCCCUUAUGUAAUAACUGACGUUGAAGGACGAAGGCUUGGUACACCAAAAGGAUUAGAUACCCUAGCAGUCCUAGCAGACAAUGAUGAAUGUCAUAGAUUAGAAUAAUUUCUUUUAGUAUUAUUUAUUUAAAAAAUAAACUUUAAAUUAUAAAAGAAAUUAAAUUUUUGUCUAUAAAUGAAAGUGUAAGCAUUCCACCUCAAGAGUAAUGUGGCAACGCACAAACUGAAAUCAUUAGACCGUUUCUGAAACCAGUAGUGAAGUAUGUUGGUCAAUUAGAUGGCCCACACAAAACCUUACCACAAUUUGUAUAUUUUUAUUUUUAUAUUAAUACAAGUGUUGCACGGCUGUCUUCAGUUAAUGUCGUGAGACUUUGGUUAGUUCCAUUAAAUUAACGUAAACCCUUGCUUUAUUUAUUAAUAUAAAGCAGUUCACCGCUAUAUUGGAUAAGAUAAAAGGGACUAAGACAAGUCAUCAUGACCUUAACAUUGUGGGCUACAGACGUGCCACAUGUACCUUUACAAAGGGAUGCGAAAUUGCGAAAUU
rnacentral:rRNA from 1 species